AUACGUAGGUGGCAAGCGUUGUCCGGAUUUACUGGGUGUAAAGGGUGCGCAGGCGGGACUGCAAGUUGGAUGUGAAAUACCGGGGCUCAACCCCGGAACUGCAUCCAAAACUGUAGUUCUUGCGUGGAGUAGAGGGAAGCGGAAUUCCGAGUGUAGCGGUGACAUGCGUAGAUAUUCGGAGGAACACCAGUGGCGAAGGCGGCUUACUGGGCUCUAACUGACGCUGAGGCACAAAAGUGUGGGUAGCAAACAGGAUUAGAUACCCUGGUAGUCCACACUGUAAACGAUGAAUACUAGGUGUGGGGGGACUGACCCCUUCCGUGCCGGAGUUAACACAAUAAGUAUUCCACCUGGGGAGUACGACCGCAAGGUUGAAACUCAAAGGAAUUGACGGGG
rnacentral:rRNA from 1 species